UACGAAGGGGGCUAGCGUUGCUCGGAAUCACUGGGCGUAAAGGGUGCGUAGGCGGGUCUUUAAGUCAGGGGUGAAAUCCUGGAGCUCAACUCCAGAACUGCCCUUGAUACUGAGGAUCUUGAGUUCGGGAGAGGUGAGUGGAACUGCGAGUGUAGAGGUGAAAUUCGUAGAUAUUCGCAAGAACACCAGUGGCGAAGGCGGCUCACUGGCCCGAUACUGACGCUGAGGCACGAAAGCGUGGGGAGCGAACAGG
rnacentral:rRNA from 1 species